rnacentral:rRNA from 1 species
AGCAGCCGCGGUAAUUCCAGCUCCAAUAGCGUAUAUUAAAGUUGUUGCAGUUAAAAAGCUCGUAGUUGAAUUUCGGGGUCAGUAAGUUGGUCGUGCCACUGGUAUGUACUGGCUUUACUGAUUCCUCCUUCUUGUAGAACCGUAAUGCCAUUAAGUUGGUGUUGCGGGAAAACAGGACUGUUACUUUGAAAAAAAUUAGAGUGUUUAAAGCAAGCUAACGCUUGAAUACAUUAGCAUGGAAUAAUGAAAUAGGACGAACGAUCCUAUUUUGUUGGUUUCUAGGAUUGACGUAAUGAUUAAUAGGGAUAGUUGGGGGGCAUUAGUAUUCAAUUGUCAGAGGUGAAAUUCUUGGAUUUAUUGAAGACUAACUACUGCGAAAAGCAUUUUGCCAAGGAUGUUUUCAUUAAUCAAGAACGAAAGUUAGGGGAUCGAAGACGAUCAGAUACCGUCGUAGUCUUAACCAUAAAACUAUGCCGACUAGGGAUCGGAUGAUGUUAAUUUUUUUAAUGACUCGUUCGGC